AAUGCAUUUUGGAUUUGUCACGGUGCAGCUUUUGGGUGGAAGUAUAACAGAGCAGAUCCUAGAUAUGAGAUCUGAAAUAAAAGUUACAGCUGUGACAUCCUUGCAGCAUCCUGCUGCUGGGACAGUGUCAGGUGUGGAGUUUGGCCGGGGCAGUACACCCAUCAAACCAUAUGACAGGUCAUCUAAGGUGAGCUCAGGGAGGAUGGAAACCUACCUUCCGUGGAGGAGAAGGGCAAAAGCUUGCUCGAUCUUGGGUUUCAGUAUGAAUACAGACCAUGAAAGCAGGGCCUCAUGAUCCUUCUGACUUUCUGGGUCUUGUCCAAAACCCCAAGCAUCUCUAACAUGCUAUGUUUGCGCCUGAAAAUUGUAAUUGUUAUUUUUCAGAAAGAAG
rnacentral:ncRNA from 1 species